ACAUUACACAAAAGUAGAAUUAAGUAAACAACAAGUUGUUGUUUUAUGAAUGCUUCAACUUCCUUAAAUUUGCUAUCUUCUUCCUUGAUUUUAAUUUUUUAUCCUUAUUUUGCUGAGACAAUGUUGUAGUAGAUGAUGACUUUGAAGGUACCUAUCAUUUUCAAGCUUUAUAAAAUUAAAGAUUUUUCCCAAAAGUAUUUCACAAUUUGAUCAUCUAUUAUUGGUACAUCAUUUUUCUCUAUCUAUAUUUGGCUCUACAUGAUUAAAAAAAUAAUACUAACAAUAAAAAAAAAACUUGAGAAAACACUUAGGUAGCAUUUACUUUUUGGAUUGCCAAUGCAUAAAAGAAUCGUAUAUGGCAAGCCAAAUAGGUAUAAAUAAAAAUAUUUAGGUAAGAAUGCAACAUCAAUUAAAUUUUUCAAUGAAACAUAUCCGCAAUCAAUUCUUUCAUCCAUUAAAAAGAUAGAAAAAAUUCUAAAUGAAAGAAAGGAGAUUACAAGCACAUACUUGCUUUCAUUAUUACUUCAAAUUAACAAUAUAAUCAAAAGAUUACAAGCACAUAAUCAACCUCGAUGCACUUGCACAAAUUUUGCAUCCAAAGCUCUGAAGUUAAUCUAUUAAAUAGUUGGCAUCAAACUUGAAUUAAAUUAAAUUAUUAAGCAGUCAAUCAAUCAAUGUUUACAGUAAAAUAAAUAUAAAGUUGAAAGAAAUAAAAGAUUAAGUAAAAAAUGAAAAACAAAAUAGCGUACACAUUUAGAUUUUGUAUGGAGACUACUUGAACCUUUUUCGCUCACUCCAAUACAUUUUCUGAAACAAAGUAUUAAGGAAACUCUCUAUACAUUUUUGUUAUCCCAGUACAAAGGAAGAUAAGUAUAUUAAUUUUGACUAAACAUACAACAACCACUUGGUGGGGGGGAAGGCUUGUUAAUCUUUAUUUAGUCACUUCCCAGCAAAUCCAACAAUAUUUUGAGCAAACUUUACUACUUUAGCAACCCAAGCUUCAAAAUCGUCCUUUUAAACAACGCAUCAAAACUACCUAAUAUUUUAUAUUUAAAAUUUUGUAGCUUAACUUAUUAUUAUAUUGGCUGGACUUAAAUAAUUUACUAACUCUUUUUAUUAUAUUAAUACUAGCUAUAAUUUUCUUUAAAAAAAUAAAGAAAGAUGAUUAAUUACAUACCAAGAUGAAGUGAGCAAAAAUUAGAAAGAUCCCAAUUUUCUAGAGUUCUUAUGAAAGAGUAUUAGGAAAAAAAAAUCUAAUAUCAUCAGACCUAAACCCACUGCCCAAAUUGACAAACAAAUUGAUCUUAAUAUCCUAAUUUUGCAAGAGUUUCUCAAAACCUAGUAAACUUUGCUUCAAAUUCCUUCAUUUAUUUGCAUGUAUUUUAUGUUUUUCUUUUACUAGAUUCUCUUAGGAAUUUUAUCAAGCACUUGAUAAGCAUAAAAAUAUUCAAAUAAUAGAUCUAAGAAUUACAAUCCCUAAUUUUACCAAACACAAAAAUAUAAAUUUCACAUAAUCCAAUCACAACUAAACUAAUCAAAAUUAAAUUGGCUGAGUUUAUAUAUACUCACAAUUUCGAAGUAGAACGAGAGAUGCGAGUGAAUUUUGUUGAGUGGCUUAUUUUGGCAUGCGUGAGUGAACUGGUGAGGGUGGCGUGCUUUGAGCGGCGAGCUUUUCAGCGGCGGCAAAGGGCGUGAUUCUAGUGGCUUAUGCGGCGGCUAAGGUAGAGUUACAGUGUUGCCUCCAUAGUCGCGGGUUUUGUUCUGUUAUCAUCAUUCACAAACACACGCACAAAUUGGAAAGGAUUACAAAAGAUAAAGAUGGGUAGUUUUUAAUACAAAAUCAAUUAAAGUGAAGUGGUCAGGGAGAGAGUGGGAGGGAAUUAAAUUGUUUUGUUUGGAUAACAACAAAAUUGGCCGAGGAGUGAGGGAGGGGAUUAAUUUGUAUUUCACGGUUUCAUUAGAGAAAUUUAUGUUCUAUUUAAAUUUAGUAUUUUUUAUUUUUUAUUUUUU
rnacentral:lncRNA from 1 species